rnacentral:tRNA from 1 species
UGGGAUGUAGCUCAGUGGGUACAGAGUGCUAGUCUCACAUGCACAAGGUCCUGGCUUCAAUCCCCGGCAUCACAA